rnacentral:rRNA from 1 species
AUUAAGUUUUAUUUAAUAUAGGAUCUGCUCAAUGAUUUAUUUAAAUAGCUGCAGUAUUUUGACUGUGCAAAGGUAGCAUAAUAAUUAGUCUUUUAAUUGGGGACUUGAAUGAAAGAUUUGAUGAGAAAUAAACUUUAUUAUUUAUAUAUUUAAAAUUUUAUUUUUAAGUAAAAAAGCUUAAAUAUUUUAAAGGGACGAUAAGACCCUAUAAAACUUUAUAAAUAAAAAUUUUUAAUUUUUUGGGUUUUAGGUUAUUAUUAUAUAUAUAUAUAUAUAAAAAAAUUAUAAUAAUUAUAAAAAUUUAAAUUUUUUUAUUUAUUUUAUUGGGGUGAUAAAAAAAAAUAAUUAACUUUUUUUAAAUUAUUACAUUAUUUAAUGAAAAUUUGAAUUAAAAUUUUUAAUUAAAAGAAAAAGUUACUUUAGGGAUAACAGCGUAAUUAUUUUUUUAAGUUCAAAUUUAAAAAUUAGUUUGCGACCUCGAUGUUGAAUUAAGAAUAUUUUUAGGUGCAAAAUUUUAAAUAUUAGGUCUGUUCGACCUUUAAAUUCUUACGUGA